UACGUAGGUGGUGAGCGUUAUCCGGAAUUAUUGGGCGUAAAGAGCGCGCAGGUGGUUGAUUAAGUCUGAUGUGAAAGCCCACGGCUUAACCGUGGAGGGUCAUUGGAAACUGGUCAACUUGAGUGCAGAAGAGGGAAGUAGAAUUCCAUGUGUAGCGGUGAAAUGCGUAGAGAUAUGGAGGAACACCAGUGGCGAAGGCGGCUUCCUGGUCUGUAACUGACACUGAGGCGCGAAAGCGUGGGGAGCAAACAGGAUUAGAUA
rnacentral:rRNA from 1 species